AUCUGAACCAUUCGGGAGAGCGUUCGGUUCGCAUCCGAGAGGUCGAGAGUUCGAGUCUCUUCAGGUCCA
rnacentral:tRNA from 2 species